rnacentral:rRNA from 1 species
AUUGAACGCUGGCGGCAGGCCUAACACAUGCAAGUCGAGCGAGCGGCGGACGGGUGAGUAAUGUAUGGGGACUGCCCGAUAGAGGGGGAUAACGACUGGAAACGGUAGCAAAUCCCGCAUACUAUCGGAUAACCCAUAUGGGAUUAGCUAGUAGGUGAGGGAAUGGCGCACCUAGGCGACGAUCCCUAGCUGGUCUGAGAGGAUGAUCAGCCACACUGGAACGGAGACACGGCCCAGACUCCUACGGAGGCAGCAUGGGGGAAUAUUGCACAAUGGGCGCAAGCCUGAUGCAGCCAUGCCGCGUGUAUGAAGAAGGCCUUAGGGUUGUAAAGUACUUUCAGUUGGGAGGCGUUACCGACAGAAGAAGCACCGGCUAACUCCGUGCCAGCAGCCGCGGUAAUAC